rnacentral:rRNA from 1 species
UUGGAGGGCAAGUCUGGUGCCAGCAGCCGCGGUAAUUCCAGCUCCAAUAGCGUAUAUUAAAGUUGUUGCAGUUAAAAAGCUCGUAGUUGAAUUUCGGGACCAAUUUGUUGGUCGUGCCUCGGUACGUACUGGUAUUAUUGGUUUCUCCCUUCUGAAGAACCUCGAUGUCAUUAAUUUGGUGUCGUGGGGAAUCAGGACUGUUACUUUGAAAAAAUUAGAGUGUUUAAAGCAGGCAUACGCUUGAAUAUAUUAGCAUGGAAUAAUGAAAUAGGACGUUUGAUUCUAUUUUGUUGGUUUCUAGGAUCGACGUAAUGAUUAAUAGGGAUAGUUGGGGGCAUUAGUAUUCAAUUGUCAGAGGUGAAAUUCUUGGAUUUAUUGAAGACUAACUACUGCGAAAGCAUUUGCCAAGGAUGUUUUCAUUAAUCAAGAACGAAAGUUAGGGGAUCGAAGACGAUCAGAUACCGUCGUAGUCUUAACCAUAAACUAUGCCGACUAGGGAUCGGAUGAUGUUAAUUUUUUAAUGACUCAUUCGGCGCCUUACGGGAAACCAAAGUGUUUGGGUUC